UACGUAGGGUGCAAGCGUUAAUCGGAAUUACUGGGCGUAAAGCGUGCGCAGGCGGUUGUGUAAGUCAGAUGUGAAAUCCCCGGGCUCAACCUGGGAAUUGCAUUUGAGACUGCACGGCUAGAGUGUGUCAGAGGGGGGUAGAAUUCCACGUGUAGCAGUGAAAUGCGUAGAGAUGUGGAGGAAUACCGAUGGCGAAGGCAAUCCCCUGGGCCUGCACUGACGCUCAUGCACGAAAGCGUGGGGAGCAAACAGG
rnacentral:rRNA from 1 species